AUGUUUGAUUUAUAGCCUGUCUAACAGAACAGUGUUUUUUGCGGUUACUAAGCUGUUGCAUCGGUGCAUUUUCAUAUGUGAGAGUUUAAUACUUUUCUGAAACGCAGAUAUCAAAUCGCCAGGAAACAAACGUCGUUGUUGUUUGACAAACUACUGUCGAUAGUCAGUCGGUUUGUUUCCAGAUACAAGUGUAAAACGUGUGUGGAUGUCGUCGUCAUCGUUUCGAUUUGUUAGUCUCACUCAACAAUCUGUUAAAAUAUCGUUUUCUUUGCUCUGUUCGCUAAACAAAGGAGCGAAACGCGUAGCCGCAUUGACCGUGUCUCUCAUGCUUUCAGGGCAUUUGGCUUCAGCGCAGGCGCACAAACCCCGCCUCUCUCCUGUGCUGUGUGCAUUCGCAUUGUGUCUAAACAGGCAGCGAGCAAAAAGAUAUUUUACCAACAGCAGUAAUGUCGGGCAGGUCGGUUCGAGCGGAGACGCGGAGCAGGGCGAAAGAUGACAUCAAGCGGGUUAUGGCUGCAAUUGAAAAAGUGCGGAAAUGGGAGAAGAAAUGGGUGACUGUUGGAGACACGUCACUGCGAAUCUACAAGUGGGUACCAGUGACAGAGCCCAAGUCAGAUGAU